GGGUGAGUAACGCGUGGGUAACCUGCCCUGUACACACGGAUAACAUACCGAAAGGUAUGCUAAUACAAGAUAAAAUACUUUUAUCGCAUGGUAGAAGUAUCAAAGCUUUUGCGGUACAGGAUGGACCCGCGUCUGAUUAGCUAGUUGGUAAGGUAACGGCUUACCAAGGCGACGAUCAGUAGCCGACCUGAGAGGGUGAUCGGCCACAUUGGAACUGAGACACGGUCCAAACUCCUACGGGAGGCAGCAGUGGGGAAUAUUGCACAAUGGGCGAAAGCCUGAUGCAGCAACGCCGCGUGAGCGAUGAAGGCCUUCGGGUCGUAAAGCUCUGUCCUCAAGGAAGAUAAUGACGGUACUUGAGGAGGAAGCCCCGGCUAACUACGUGCCAGCAGCCGCGGUAAUACGUAGGGGGCUAGCGUUAUCCGGAAUUACUGGGCGUAAAGGGUGCGUAGGUGGUUUCUUAAGUCAGAGGUGAAAGGCUACGGCUCAACCGUAGUAAGCCUUUGAAACUGGGGAACUUGAGUGCAGGAGAGGAGAGUGGAAUUCCUAGUGUAGCGGUGAAAUGCGUAGAUAUUAGGAGGAACACCAGUUGCGAAGGCGGCUCUCUGGACUGUAACUGACACUGAGGCACGAAAGCGUGGGGAGCAAACAGGAUUAGAUACCCUGGUAGUCCACGCCGUAAACGAUG
rnacentral:rRNA from 1 species